rfam:Lupinus angustifolius cultivar Tanjil contig_20972, whole genome shotgun sequence.
AGGUGCGAUCAGACCAGCACUAAUGCACCGGAUCCCAUCAGAACUCCGCAGUCAAGCGCGCUUGGGCGAGAGUAGUACUAGGAUGGGUGACCUCCUGGGAAGUCCUCGUGUUGCACCUC